UACGUAGGGUGCAAGCGUUGUCCGGAAUUAUUGGGCGUAAAGAGCUCGUAGGCGGUCUGUCGCGUCUGCUGUGAAAUCCCGAGGCUCAACCUCGGGUCUGCAGUCGAUACGGGCGGACUGGAGUUCGGCAGGGGAGACUGGAAUUCCUGGUGUAGCGGUGAAAUGCGCAGAUAUCAGGAGGAACACCGGUGGCGAAGGCGGGUCUCUGGGCCGAUACUGACGCUGAGGAGCGAAAGCGUGGGGAGCGAACAGG
rnacentral:rRNA from 1 species